rnacentral:piRNA from 1 species
UUAUUAAGAAAAAGGGGAAUU